rnacentral:rRNA from 1 species
GUCGCUCCUACCGAUUGAAUGGUCCGGUGAAUUGUUCGGACUGGCUGGUCUCUGGGCAACCGGAACCGUGCUGGAAAGUCCUGUUAACCUUAUCAUUUAGAGGAAGGAG